rnacentral:rRNA from 1 species
UGGGGAAUUUUGGACAAUGGGCGAAAGCCUGAUCCAGCAAUGCCGCGUGUGUGAAGAAGGCCUUCGGGUUGUAAAGCACUUUUGUCCGGAAAGAAAUCCUUGGGCUCUAAUGCAGUCGGGGGAUGACGGUACCGGAAGAAUAAGCACCGGCUAACUACGUGCCAGCAGCCGCGGUAAUACGUAGGGUGCAAGCGUUAAUCGGAAUUACUGGGCGUAAAGCGUGCGCAGGCGGUUUGCUAAGACCGAUGUGAAAUCCCCGGGCUCAACCUGGGAACUGCAUUGGUGACUGGCAGGCUAGAGUAUGGCAGAGGGGGGUAGAAUUCCACGUGUAGCAGUGAAAUGCGUAGAGAUGUGGAGGAAUACCGAUGGCGAAGGCAGCCCCUGGGCCAAUACUGACGCUCAUGCACGAAAGCGUGGGGAGCAAACAGGAUUAGAUACCCUGGUAGUCCACGCCCUAAACGAUGUCAACUAGUUGUUGGGGAUUCAUUUCCUUAGUAACGUAGCUAACGCGUGAAGUUGACCGCCUGGGGAGUACGGUCGCAAGAUUAAAAC